UGGUUUUAAUCAGUCAGGAAAGGACAUAACUAGACCAACAGGAAUAAAUUAAAUGAAGGAAUCAAAUACCAGGCAAACAGGACAUCAGCAAAAGGAGGUAGGGGCUGCAGGGCCUGUGGCUACAUGGGAGGCUAGUGCCAACAAGGAAAUAGCAAUGGGGAGCAUGGAGAGUGCCCGGUGACCGAUGUGGGAAAAACAAUGGUCUAAGGAGCCCUGGUGGUGCAGUGGUUAAGCACUCAGCUCCUAGCCGAAAGGUUGGCGGUUGAAACCCACCCAGUGGCUCUGUGGGAGAAAAGACCUGAUAGUCUGCUUCCAUAAAGAUUACAGCCUAGGAAAUCCUAUGCGAUAGUUCUACUCUGUCACAUGGGAAUGCUAUGAGUCGAAAACUGACAUGGCACCCAACAACAACAACAACAACAACAGGACUGAAAGACCUGGGCUGAAACCCCACUAAGUACUUCCCACGGAUCAUGUGACUCAGAUGAAAGCCAGCGAGAGGACAGUUCCUCAGUUCCUCCCUGGGGUUGGGGUCAGAGGAGGACUGGGAGCACACUGGACACACUGUAAAAUGCCAUGAUAUUUCCCUGGAUUCUUCUUGCAACUUUUCUGUAAGCUUGCAAUUUUAUCAAAAAGCUACAGAAAGAAAUCUUAAUGCUGUAACGAAUGAUUCCUGGUCUCAUUCAUGAAGGAUUAUCUGCCAUGUAAGCUGCUCAACUGCUAUAAACAACCAGAAAACCUACAGGAAACAUGUCUUUCAGACACUGGAUGAAAGCGAGUAGGGAGGUGGCAGGAAGAAAUUCACAACUCACGGUGCAUAAGAAGGAAGAGUGCCUCCCUCAGAGACGUGGCCCGUGAAGCUCCUCUGCUGUUGGCAAAGCCAGACGCCAGGCCCUCCUCCACCCUAUACACAGCUCCCAGACCUCACGGCUCACAACCGGGGGCCUGUGGCGAGCGCCGGCCAAGCACUCCUCUCUGAGUACUUCGUGAUGCCGGAAAAAGAAGAAGGAAGAGAGAGAGAGAUACUACCCUACUACCCUACGCCCUGGUCCGUAGCAUCAACGUGGGUUGAACAGCAACGGAAUCGGCCAGGAGCCCGGGCAAAAGGACAGCACCUUUAUGUUCUGAUGGCCGGCACCGUCCUCAGUACCGGGAUCCAGGAAGACCAGAGAAAAUCAAGAUCUCUUUCCGAGGGGGCUUCCCUCCAGCAGGGGAGACAAGAAUGGCAGGGUGUCCCUGUGGAUUGGAGGUGCAGUGAGGUGAGCUCCAUAGGCCGGCUCGUGGAUCUUAUUGGCAAACUGUAGUCAGGGCGAGAUUCAGCCCACUGCUGCCUGCUGCUAUACAGCCCAUAAGCCAAGCGCAGUGUCCACAUUUUCAAGUGCUUUGAAAAAAAUCUAUAGAAGAAUACUAUUUAGUGACUAGAAAAUUAUACGGAAUUCAAAUCUCAGUGUCCAUGAAAAAGCUUUAUUGGAACAUGCUGUGUAUGUCUGUUUACGUGUUGUGUGUGGCUGCUCUUGAGCUCCAGCAGCAAAGCUGAGCGGGUGGGACAGACACCGCACCACCCGUGAAGCCAAAAUGUUUACUUUUACAGAUGGGCCGGCCGACCCCUCAGCUUCAGUGCACAGGAACUGGCGGGAGAGGGGUGCACGGGUAGAGCUGACCUGGUGGAGACAGGUGGGGAGUUACUCACAGGAGCUGGGACAGGGCCAGGGAAGAAAUGAGUAACGGAAACAGGAUACUACAAAUUUCUAUUAUUUAAACCACUUUUUUCAUCAUAGACAUUAGAUUCAUACAGACAUAUGGCUUCAAAAGACUCUUGUGGGCUAGCUUGGGAAUGCAGCCACUGUAUGUAACAUUUAUUCUACAAAAAACAUAUGUUCUAGUGCAACACAAACACAAAGGAGCGUGCGGAAACUA